rnacentral:rRNA from 1 species
GACGAACGCUGGCGGCGUGCUUAACACAUGCAAGUCGAACGGAAAGGCCCUGCUUUUGUGGGGUGCUCGAGUGGCGAACGGGUGAGUAACACGUGAGUAACCUGCCCUUGACUUUGGGAUAACUUCAGGAAACUGGGGCUAAUACCGGAUAGGAGCUCCUGCUGCAUGGUGGGGGUUGGAAAGUUUCGGCGGUUGGGGAUGGACUCGCGGCUUAUCAGCUUGUUGGUGGGGUAGUGGCUUACCAAGGCUUUGACGGGUAGCCGGCCUGAGAGGGUGACCGGCCACAUUGGGACUGAGAUACGGCCCAGACUCUUACGGGAGGCAUCAGUGGGGAAUAUUGCACAAUGGGCGGAAGCCUGAUGCAGCAACGCCGCGUGCGGGAUGACGGCCUUCGGGUUGUAAACCGCUUUCGCCUGUGACGAAGCGUGAGUGACGGUAAUGGGUAAAGAAGCACCGGCUAACUACGUG